rnacentral:rRNA from 1 species
CCCUUAGAUGUUCUGGGCUGCACGCGUGCUACACUGAUAUUGCCAAUAUGUCAUUCUUAUCCGAAAUGGAUUGGGUAAUCAAGUAAUGAAAUUUCAUGCUUGGAAUCGGUAAUUGCAAUUUUAUCGUGAACGAGGAAUUCCUAGUAAGCACUAGUCAUCAGCUAAUGUUGAUUAUGUCCCUGCCCUUUGUACACACCGUCCGUCGCUACUACUGAUUGGGUGUUCAAGUGAGAUGCUUAGACCCUUGUUGCAUGGUUCAUUAUUGUGCUCCGAAGGGAAAAAGUUUCAAGCUUGAGUGUCUAGAGGAAGUAAAAGUCGUAACA